rnacentral:rRNA from 1 species
AGAGUUUGAUCCUGGCUCAGAUUGAACGCGGCGGCAUGCCUUACACAUGCAAGAUUGAACGGCAGCGCGGGGCAACCUGGCGGCGAGGUGGCGAACGGGUGAGUAAUAUAUCGGAACGUACCCUGGAGUGGGGGAUAACGUAGCGAAAGUUACGCUAAUACCGCAUACGAUCUAAGGAUGAAAGUGGGGGAUCGCAAGACCUCAUGCUCCUGGAGCGGCCGAUAUCUGAUUAGCUAGUUGGUAGGGUAAAAGCCUACCAAGGCAUCGAUCAGUAGCUGGUCUGAGAGGACGACCAGCCACACUGGAACUGAGACACGGUCCAGACUCCUACGGGAGGCAGCAGUGGGGAAUUUUGGACAAUGGGCGCAAGCCUGAUCCAGCAAUGCCGCGUGAGUGAAGAAGGCCUUCGGGUUGUAAAGCUCUUUUGUCAGGGAAGAAACGGUGAAGGCUAAUAUCUUUUGCUAAUGACGGUACCUGAAGAAUAAGCACCGGCUAACUACGUGCCAGCAGCCGCGGUAAUAC